rnacentral:rRNA from 1 species
ACGGGUGAGUAACACGUAAAGAACCUGCCUCAUAGACUGGGACAACUAUUGGAAACGAUAGCUAAUACCGGAUAACAGCAUUAACUGCAUGGUUGAUGUUUAAAAGUUGGUUUUGCUAACACUAUGAGAUGGCUUUGCGGUGCAUUAGCUAGUUGGUGGGGUAAAGGCCUACCAAGGCGACGAUGCAUAGCCGACCUGAGAGGGUGAUCGGCCACACUGGGACUGAGACACGGCCCAGACUCCUACGGGAGGCAGCAGUAGGGAAUCUUCCGCAAUGGGCGAAAGCCUGACGGAGCAACGCCGCGUGAGUGAAGAAGGAUUUCGGUUCGUAAAGCUCUGUUGUUAGGGAAGAAUGAUUGUGUAGUAACUAUACACAGUAGAGACGGUACCUAACCAGAAAGCCACGGCUAACUACGUGCCAGCAGCCGCGGUAAUACGUAGGUGGCAAGCGUUGUCCGGAAUUAUUGGGCGUAAAGCGCGCGCAGGUGGUUUAAUAAGUCUGAUGUGAAAGCCCACGGCUCAACCGUGGAGGGUCAUUGGAAACUGUUAAACUUGAGUGCAGGAGAGAAAAGUGGAAUUCCUAGUGUAGCGGUGAAAUGCGUA